rnacentral:rRNA from 1 species
AUGAACGCUGGCGGCGUGCCUAAUACCUGCAAGUCGAGCGAACAGACGAGGAGCUUGCUCCUCUGACGUUAGCGGCGGACGGGUGAGUAACACGUGUAUAACCUACCUAUAAGACUGGGAUAACUUCGGGAAACCGGAGCUAAUACCGGAUAAUAUAUUGAACCGCAUGGUUCAAUAGUGAAAGACGGUUUUGCUGUCACUUAUAGAUGGAUCCGCGCCGCAUUAGCUAGUUGGUAAGGUAACGGCUUACCAAGGCAACGAUGCGUAGCCGACCUGAGAGGGUGAUCGGCCACACUGGAACUGAGACACGGUCCAGACUCCUACGGGAGGCAGCAGUAGGGAAUCUUCCGCAAUGGGCGAAAGCCUGACGGAGCAACGCCGCGUGAGUGAUGAAGGUCUUCGGAUCGUAAAACUCUGUUAUUAGGGAAGAACAAAUGUGUAAGUAACUAUGCACGUCUUGACGGUACCUAAUCAGAAAGCCACGGCUAACUACGUG